UUCUGAAGACAGUUGAGAGUAUGGAUGUAAAUAAACUCUGCAGUGCUCAGAGCCUAAUGUCAGCUGCACUGACCACAAUGUAAAUAAACAUCAGCAAUGAGAACAUGGCCUUCCCUUUCUUCAGAAUUAUAUCAGAUGGUGACAGACUAUUUUGUAGGGCAAGAACACGGAAUAAUUGCUGAUAACCUUCAAGCCUAGCAGUAAACUCUGAAAAUGUCUCAUCUUCUCUAUAGGUGGAAGUCUCUAUCUAUACACAGCUGAGACAUAUAAAGGA